AUUGAACGCUGGCGACAUGCCUUACACAUGCAAGUCGAACGGCAGCACGGGUGCUUGCACCUGGUGGCGAGUGGCGAACGGGUGAGUAAUACAUCGGAACAUGUCCUGUAGUGGGGGAUAGCCCGGCGAAAGCCGGAUUAAUACCGCAUACGAUCUACGGAUGAAAGCGGGGGACCUUCGGGCCUCGCGCUAUAGGGUUGGCCGAUGGCUGAUUAGCUAGUUGGUGGGGUAAAGGCCUACCAAGGCGACGAUCAGUAGCUGGUCUGAGAGGACGACCAGUAAAACGGGGACGGAGAAACGGCCAAGACUCCGAGGGGAGGCAGGAGGGGGGAAUUUUGGAAAAUGGGAGAAAGCAUGAUCAAGAAAUGCCGGGGGGGUGAAGAAGGCCUUCGGGUUGUAAAGCAUUUUUGUCCGGAAAGAAAUCCUUGGCCCUAAUACGGUGGGGGGAUGGGGGGACCGGAAAAAGAAGCACCGGCUAACUACGG
rnacentral:rRNA from 1 species